UGAAAUACUAUAAUUUGGAAUUGUGGUAGGAUCUUUGCAGGGUUUAAUGUGGACCAAGCUACGGCGAUAACCUGCACCAUUUACCUCCACCUGGAAAGAACGUUUACUUAAGCGAUUCGACACAGUGCCACGAGACCAUUCUUUUGAAAUUUCUGGAUAUAACUGCACAUAUACUGGCGAUCCAACUUGAAGAUCAGAAUUCGGAACACCUUCGACAACCUUUGGGAAUAGAUUUUUCGCCGAUGUCGGUAUACCGCACUUCGUGGAUCUCGAAAAUAAACGGGCCGCUGGACUGGAACCUAUUUUAUUGGUAAACGUUUAGCGAUCUUCACGGCUGCCUCCGCUUUCCCGUUAGAUUGCUGGUGAUGAGGAGAUGAUGUAGUGUGCUGGAAAUCCCAUUCGAUGGCGAAUUCUUCCAUCUUUCGGCAAACGAA